rnacentral:rRNA from 1 species
GUUGUGCGAACCUUCCACGGUUUGUGCAACGCAGCUAACGCAUUAAGCGCCCCGCCUGGGGAGUACGAUCGCAAGAUUAAAACUCAAAGGAAUUGACGGGGCCCCGCACAAGCAGCGGAGCAUGCGGCUUAAUUCGACGCAACGCGAAGAACCUUACCAAGGCUUGACAUAUACGGGAAUAUGGCAGAGAUGUCAUAGCCGCAAGGUCUGUAUACAGGUGGUGCAUGGUUGUCGUCAGCUCGUGUCGUGAGAUGUUGAGUUAAGUCCCGCAACGAGCGCAACCCUCGUUCUGUGUUGCCAGCAUUAAGUUGGGGACUCACAGGAGACUGCCGGGGUUAACUCGGAGGAAGGUGGGGAUGACGUCAAAUCAUCAUGCCCCUUAUGUCUUGGGCUGCACGCAUGCUACAAUGGCUGGUACAAACGGCUGCGAUACCGCAAGGUGGAGCGAAUCCGAUAAAGCCAGUCUCAGUUCGGAUUGGGGUCUGCAACUCGACCCCAUGAAGUCGGAGUUGCUAGUAAUCGUAGAUCAGCAACGCUACGGUGAAUACGUUCCCGGGGCUUGUACACACCGCCCGUCACAUCACGAAAGUCGGUAACACCCAAAGUCAGUGGCCCAACCGUAAGGAG